ACAUUCGGCCAUACUUGGUAGAUAUGCGCCUUAUCCCAUCCCGAACUGAGAAGCUAAGUCUCCAUAGGCCCAGGGAGUACUGCGGUCAGGGAUGACGCUGGAAAUCUGGGUGCUGAAUGUU
rnacentral:rRNA from 11 species